CCUACGGGAUGCAGCAGUGGGGAAUAUUGGACAAUGGGCGAAAGCCUGAUCCAGCCAUGCCGCGUGUGUGAAGAAGGCCUUCGGGUUGUAAAGCACUUUCAGUGGGGAAGAAAGCCUUGGGGCUAAUACCCUCGAGGAAGGACAUCACCCACAGAAGAAGCACCGGCUAACUCCGUGCCAGCAGCCGCGGUAAUACGGAGGGUGCGAGCGUUAAUCGGAAUUACUGGGCGUAAAGCGCGCGUAGGCGGUCUGAUAAGCCGGUUGUGAAAGCCCCGGGCUCAACCUGGGAACGGCAUCCGGAACUGUCAGGCUAGAGUGCAGGAGAGGAAGGUAGAAUUCCGGUGUAGCGGUGAAAUGCGUAGAGAUCGGGAGGAAUACCAGUGGCGAAGGCGGCCUUCUGGACUGACACUGACGCUGAGGUGCGAAAGCGUGGGUAGCAAACAGGAUUAGAUACCCCAGUAGUC
rnacentral:rRNA from 1 species